rnacentral:rRNA from 1 species
GAUGAACGCUGGCGGCGUGCUUAACACAUGCAAGUCGAACGGAUAGGCUCCUGCUUGCAGGGGUACUCGAGUGGCGAACGGGUGAGUAACACGUGGGUGAUCUGCCCUGCACUUCGGGAUAAGCCUGGGAAACUGGGUCUAAUACCGGAUAGGACGAUGGUUUGGAUGCCAUUGUGGAAAGUUUUUCGGUGUGGGAUGAGCUCGCGGCCUAUCAGCUUGUUGGUGGGGUAAUGGCCUACCAAGGCGUCGACGGGUAGCCGGCCUGAGAGGGUGUACGGCCACAUUGGGACUGAGAUACGGCCCAGACUCCUACGGGAGGCAGCAGUGGGGAAUAUUGCACAAGGGGCGCAAGCCUGAUGCAGCGACGCCGCGUGGGGGAUGACGGCCUUCGGGUUGUAAACUCCUUUCGCUAGGGACGAAGCGUUUUGUGACGGUACCUGGAGAAGAAGCACCGGCUAACUACGUG